rnacentral:rRNA from 1 species
GACGAAGGAUGCAAGCGUUAUCCGGAUUCAUUGGGUUUAAAGGGUGCGUAGGCGGCCCGGUAAGUCAGUGGUGAAAUCUCCUUGCUUAACAAGGAAACUGCCAUUGAUACUGUCGGGCUUGAGUACAGUUGCUGUGGGCGGAAUAUGACAUGUAGUGGUGAAAUACAUAGAGAUGUCAUAGAACACCGAUUGCGAAGGCAGCUUACUACCCGAAUAUUGACACUGAGGCACGAAAGCGUGGGGAUCAAACAGG